rnacentral:rRNA from 1 species
GAUGAACGCUAGCGGCAGGCCUAAUACAUGCAAGUCGGACGGGAUCCAUUGAUAGCUUGCUAUCAAUGGUGAGAGUGGCGCACGGGUGCGUAACGCGUGAGCAACCUGCCUCCAUCAGGGGGAUAGCCUCUCGAAAGAGAGAUUAACACCGCAUAAUAUCAACAGUUCGCAUGUUCAGUUGAUUAAAUAUUUAUAGGAUGGAGAUGGGCUCGCGUGACAUUAGCUAGUUGGUAGGGUAACGGCUUACCAAGGCGACGAUGUCUAGGGGCUCUGAGGGGAGAAUCCCCCACACUGGUACUGAGACACGGACCAGACUCCUACGGGAGGCAGCAGUAAGGAAUAUUGGUCAAUGGGCGGAAGCCUGAACCAGCCAUGCCGCGUGCAGGAUGACUGCCCUAUGGGUUGUAAACUGCUUUUGUCCAGGAAUAAACCUAAAUACGAGUAUUUAGCUGAAUGUACUGGAAGAAUAAGGAUCGGCUAACUCCGUG